rnacentral:tRNA from 1 species
GCUGCCGUAGCUCAGUGGUAGAGCACUCCCUUGGUAAGGGAGAGGUCGUCAGUUCAAUCCUGCCCGGCAGCACCA